GAGCGUCAUUUCAACCAUCAAGCCCCCGGGCUUGUGUUGGGGCCCUGCGGCUGCCGCAGGCCCUUAAACAGUGGCGGGCUCGCUGUCACACCGAGCGUAGUAAUACAUCUCGCUUUGGACGUGCGGCGGGUUCUUGCCGUUAAACACCCCCCUUCUCAAAGGUUGACCUCGGAUCAGGUAGGAAUACCCGCUGAACUUAA
rnacentral:misc_RNA from 1 species